GUAAAGCGAGAAUCAAUGAAAUUCAAGCUGAAUUACACCUUGAAAAAAACAAUUGAGACAAUAAGCAAGAAGCUGUUUAACCAUAUGUAUAAGAUCGAAGAAAAAGUAAAGUCCCACUGGAGUGAAGAUGGUGUAGAAAUCAAUGAUAAUUCAGGUAGUUUCAAAACUCUCCCUUGUUUUUAAUAAAAACAAUGAAAUAGAGUAGGGAGAUUAAUGAAAGUGCAACCCUCAAAUUGAAAAUACACACAGCUGAAGUUGAAACAGAAAUCUCUGGACCAGACAAUCUCCCUCCUGGAACUGUGAAAGAGCUGGCAUGAGAAACUGAGGAUCGGGUAACGAUUUUUGUACUGAUUACGUUAAAUUGGCAUGGUGCAUUAUGGUUGAACAUAGCUAAUGUAAUGCUGCUGCUUGAGAAAAGAUGGAAAUAGCCCACCAACAACUAGGGACUAACCUGACUUUAAUAGUAUACAAAAUAUAAGAACGAAUUUUGAAAGAAAAUAUAUGUAGAGAGAAAUAAAAAAAAUAUAUAAAAUGUAGUAUGGCUUUAACAAAACUGAAUCAUGCAAGAAUAAGCAGGUAUAUUUCUUUGGUGAUAAAAAUGCUUUCCUAGACAAAUGAAAUGCAGCAUUUUAUCUGGAUUUCAGGUAAACAUUUGAUAUGAAGCCGUAGGGAAAAAGGUUACAUUAUGUGCAGAAGCUGAGAAUUAGUAUAAUAACUAUAAGGUCAACAGGGAACUGCCUAAAGGGCAGCUCACAACAGGUUCUGCUGAAAGGAAAGUUAUCAGGUGGGAGGAACUCUAUUGUUUUGACAGAUUGACCUUAGGACCUAUUUUCUUAAUAGUUUCAUUAGUGACCUUGGCAUGGAAAAUAGUAGCAAAUGAGAGAUAUUUACUGAUGACAUAAAAAUGGAAAGCAUGAAAAGAAUUAGAAAGAAAGAAAUGGAUAACCUUGGGGGCUGCUGCACUGGAAGUGAGAUCAUGUGUAACAGAACGGAGAGCAAUGCCCUUGCACGGAGGGAGCAAAGACACAGGUCUGCCUCCAUCUGCCUGCUGCGGGCUAGUUUGAACCUUCAGAGAUAACUAACCAGUAUUAAGCACAUGGAUACAGGUCAAAUGUAGGCCUUCUGUCUCCGAACCAUGAAUUUCUACUGGAAAGAAACAUCUGCACAUGAAUGGACCACAGGAUGGGUCUGGGCUGUCAACAGGAUGCAUCCAUGGACAAACCCUGAAGCUACUGUGGUGAGUAUAUAGGGGAGGUACUUCCAACAGCAAUAGGAAAAUAGCAGUGCUGCGUGAGAAGCUGUGGGAAGUCCACAGAGGAAAUACUGUUUUCUUUCCUGCUCAUCUAUUAUCAAGCAAGCAGCAUUGAAACUGAAAAUAAUGCAGUGAGGGACUUCUCAAGAGAGUGGAGAGAUGACUUCCUGAGAAGAUAUAACAGGGCUUGUUUAGGUCAGCAAGGUGAAGUUUGAGAAGAGGUAGGAUUGUUUUCUCUAAGUACAUUGGGGGUGGAGAAAGGAGAUGAGAGAAAAAGAGCUAUUUAAGCUGAAGGACAGCUCUGGCACAAGAGUUCUGUACACUGCUUCCUACUCAGACCCGUGAGUUUUUGGAACAGUUUCCCAGUAGCAGUAUUUGAAGGAAAAAAACCUGACUAGCUCGUUAUUAAGCAGUUUAUGCAAUGGACUCUACUUCCACCAGUUGCCUGAUGUAGCCAGGCAGAGGGCUCACAGCCUACAGGGUCUCUUCCAGUCCUACACUCUGAAGCUGCAGCCACAUGCAACUUGCCAGCUGAGGUUGACUUGCACGGCUUUUCUCUGACAAAUUCAAUGGACAACAAAAAUUUAUUUCUUGCAGAGUGCUUACUAUCUGUAAAGCACCAUGUACUGCACAAAGGCAUAUAAACAUCAUAAUUCAUUAUAUUUAAUCUCCUUUUAAACUACACAUGCUAUUCUAGAGGACCGACUUACUGCACUUUAACCAUCAGCCAUCACAAGGCCAAACGAGC